rnacentral:rRNA from 1 species
UACAGAGGGUGCAAGCGUUAAUCGGAGUUACUGGGCGUAAAGGGCGCGUAGGCGGAUAUUUAAGUCGGAUGUGAAAUCCCUGGGCUUAACCUAGGAACUGCAUUCGAUACUGGAUAUCUAGAGUAUGGGAGAGGAAAGCGGAAUUUCAGGUGUAGCAGUGAAAUGCGUAGAUAUCUGAAAGAACAUCAGGGCGAAGGCGGCUUUCUGGCCCAAUACUGACGCUGAGGCGCGAAAGCGUGGGGAGCAAACAGG